rnacentral:tRNA from 2 species
CGGGGCAUGGCGCAGUCCGGUAGCGCGCGUCGUUCGGGACGACGAGGUCGCUGGUUCAAAUCCGGCUGCCCCGA